AUUAUUCUUCCCGCAAGGCUUCCGUGGAUGGAAAUGCCAUUGUCCAUUGAACGGCGUCUGAUCAGGAACUCCGACGGACUGUGCAGAACCGGAAAAAGAGUGAGAAAACGAAGAAGACGAGGUAGAUGUUGAAUUGAGCGGCGCAUUCCAAGGUCGAGCCAACAUCUAUCACCUUUGACGUGCACAAUUGAACUGCAUUUGGCGGGGUCGUACGACGUGUCGUCUCCUGACCACCGACGUGUACGUAGACGGAUAGACGAAGGGACGGAUGCAGGACGGACGGACGGAUCGACGACGCAGCACUCGCUCAGGAAUUCUUUUUGACUUGUCGGCGAAGAGUCGAGGAGGGCGUUCGCUUUGAAAUCGAAUCGAUGUGUAUGACCCUUCUGGACUGGCGGGACCCCGAUGAACGCGAAGAAGGUGUGGGAAAACAGCAGUGGACCUACAAAACAAUCAUUCGCUUUAUAGCUAUAACUUAGGAUAGCUCACAGCGUUUUUGGACUGCACGCAAUCGGUUCCUCCCGCUAUAUAAAAUCAAUACCAAAAUCAAUCUUGGGGUCAAAAACUUUUCACCUUGAGUUCGACUCAAAUAACCCUUUUCGCAUCAAUUGAACCCCAAGCAUAGCAAGAGGAGGGAUUUCAAAGAUCUUAGCUUAACAACUCAGAAAAUACCGGGGAAUCGAUUCAAUCAUUAAUUUAUUUCAAUACAGGUUACAUAAAAUAGUAACAAUACAAUACUAUACAUGACGCAUACAAGUAUUGCACCUGCACGCAGGGCGGCUGUGUCUCAUGUAACAUUUGUGAUAUUCAGGCUAAGUUAUGUAUAGCUGUUGCACAUCAUCUUUAUGAUACAGAACUUGGAUUUCUUGUGUAAUGUUCACUCAUUCUUUUACAUUUUUUGUUCCUGUUCGACACAAUACUAUUUGGUAACUCGUUAGAGUACUAUACAC